rnacentral:rRNA from 1 species
UACAGAGGUCCCAAGCGUUGUUCGGAUUCACUGGGCGUAAAGGGUGCGUAGGUGGUGAGGUAAGUCGGAUGUGAAAUCUCCGAGCUCAACUCGGAAAUGGCAUUGGAAACUACCUUGCUCGAGGGUUGGAGGGGGGACUGGAAUGCUUGGUGGAGCGGUGAAAUGCGUAGAUAUCGCUUGGAACGCCAAAGGUGAAAACAGGUUGCUGGGGUUGUGCCGACGCUGAGACACGAAAGCCAGGGGAGCAAACGGG